rnacentral:rRNA from 1 species
AGCGAACGCUGGCGGCAGGCUUAACACAUGCAAGUCGAACGCCCCGCAAGGGGAGUGGCAGACGGGUGAGUAACACGUGGGAACGUACCCUUUGGUUCGGAAUAACUUGGGGAAACUCAAGCUAAUACCGGAUAAGCCCUUAUGGGGAAAGGUUUACUGCCGAAGGGUCGGCCCGCGUCUGAUUAGCUAGUUGGUGAGGUAAUGGCUCACCAAGGCGACGAUCAGUAGCUGGUCUGAGAGGAUGAUCAGCCACACUGGGACUGAGACACGGCCCAGACUCCUACGGGAGGCAGCAGUGGGGAAUAUUGGACAAUGGGGGCAACCCUGAUCCAGCCAUGCCGCGUGAGUGGUGAAGGCCUUAGGGUUGUAAAGCUCUUUUACCCGGGACGAUAAUGACUGUACCGGGAGAAUAAGCCCCGGCUAACUUCGUGCCAGCAGCCGCCGUAA